rnacentral:rRNA from 1 species
UACAGAGGGUGCGAGCGUUAAUCGGAAUUACUGGGCGUAAAGCGCGCGUAGGCGGCUUUGCAAGUCGGGUGUGAAAUCCCCAGGCUUAACCUGGGAACUGCAUUCGAGACUGCAUUGCUAGAGUAUGGGAGAGGGAAGUGGAAUUUCCGGUGUGGCGGUGAAAUGCGUAGAUAUCGGAAGGAACACCGGUGGCGAAGGCGGCAUCCUGGACCAACACUGACACUGAGGAGCGAAAGCCAGGGGAGCAAACAGG